rnacentral:rRNA from 1 species
CAGUAGCCGCGGGAAUACGUAGGGUGCGAGCGUUAAUCGGAUUUACUGGGCGUAAAGCGUGCGCAGGCGGCCCGUUAAGACAGGUGUGAAAUCCCUGGGCUCAACCUAGGAAUUGCGCUUGUGACUGGCGGGCUCGAGUACGGUAGAGGGGGGUGGAAUUCCUGGUGUAGCAGUGAAAUGCGUAGAGAUCAGGAGGAACACCGAUGGCGAAGGCAGCCCCCUGGGCCUGUACUGACGCUCAUGCACGAAAGCGUGGGGAGCAAACAGGAUUAGAUACCCCCGUAGUCCCUGUCUCUUAUAC